ensembl:lncRNA
UGCACUCAAGAACCCGUUCAGAAGGAAGCGACGAAAAACCUCAUCGGGUGUCAGUUGGUCUUAUGACCCCCACCUACACACACACACACACACACACACACACACACACACACCAACGUGUGCACAUACGUACUGAGGAGCUGCGGAGGGAUAGGAGGACCUCUUUGGAUACGUCAGCAGCACUACAGCUGGACUAUAGACCCUCCAGCCUGAGUUGCCAUGGCUAGUGGGGAAGCUGCGCCGGUGGCUCCCGCCACACACUUGGCUCUCAACAGACUCCAUCGGUUUCGGAUGCGUGGGGGCCGUCGUCCGCGCGCGCCCAAGAGCUUGAAGCACCGCAGCAGACAAAUGCAAGAGCUACGUGACUUGGAGAACUUCCUCAUCCUUUACCUUAAGGUCAAACGUGUUUGAUGGGUUGAAUUAAUAUUUUAUUUUGUUUAUUCCAUGCAAUGAGUAGUGAAUAGUGAGAUUAAUUGGUUUUAUGUGUAAAAAAAAAAACUAAACAUGAGUGUUAUUAGUAUUAAUAUGAGAAGUAAUAGUAAUCUAAUGGAAAUCGUUUAUAUACUUCUAGUUUUCAAAUCAUUAUUGGCUAAUUUCUACUAACUUUAAAACCAGCAGUAGCCUACUGUGAACACUCCGGGUCCUGCUGCAUCAGCCUGUUGUGCUGUUCACAAGAACAGCAGGACUGGGCCUGGGCUUAUGGUGGUCUUGUCGAGCCAAUGGAGUCUUCUAUGCCCAG